rnacentral:lncRNA from 1 species
CACAGCACCUGCCUUUCCUCCACCUGGUUGCUUGCGUAUAUAAAUGAGCAAAAGAACUCUUCUUCAUCUGGCAAUGCAACAGAGCACGUGAUGAUCUGAUCCGUUUUAUAAACGGGAGUCAUGCGCACCAUGUCUCUCCAAAUCACCCAAAUCCUACCUCCUUUGUUAUACUCAUAGUUGGUCAUCGAUGACCAUUCGCUGAACUCUGUUUUUAAAAUCCUUUCUGCCUUCUUCUCCUUAACUCUUGUUUCCAAAAUACAACCAAACUUCAUCUCCUUAUUAUUUACCCAUUUUUUUACCACGGAAUGCUUCAUAGGUUUGUUGAAUCCGCGCACAUUCCAAAAGAAACUCGACAUAUUAAUGUUGGCGGCGAGAGGACCUUGUGCUCAU